rnacentral:sRNA from 1 species
UGCAUCUGAAGCCUGACGAGGAUGAGAACCUCCGGGGGCAAGAGGUUCGACUCGAGCGCAGCGAGAGAACGUUGCGUCA